rnacentral:lncRNA from 1 species
GCUCAAUGCAAGGAGGUGAGGGCGGAGGUGGCGAGAAGUAGUGAUACACCGGUAGCGGAGGUGAGUAUUGAGGUGGCGGUGGAGAAUAAUAAUGCAUGGGUGGUGGCGGUGACGGUGGUGGUGGUGAUGGAGGAGGGGGGGAUGGCGGAGGCGGCGAAGGUGGCGGUGGCGGGGGAGAAUAAACCGGCGGAGGUGGAGACGGAGGAGGCGGCGAAGGUGGCGGCGGCGGGGGAGAAUAAAGUGGCGGAGGUGGAGACGGAGGAGGCGGCGAAGGUGGAGACGGAGGAGGCGGCGAAGGUGGCGGCGGCGGGGGAGAAUAAACCGGCGGAGGUGGAGACGGAGGAGGUGGGGAUGGAGGCGGCGGCGGAGGGAGAGCCGGCACGAACGGUUUGCAACGGAAAACACUACAGUCCACCGGGUGCGCCAAGAACGACUUGCAUUGCUUCUCCGACCGCUGCAACGGGCGCUCGGGCAGGCAGUUCCUCUUGUCGUCGAAUGACUGCACCUUCAAGCAGGACGGCGGCUCGCCGGUGAAGAAAUUAUAUGAGAAGGUGAAGUUUUGAAGGUGCGGUAGCACGCAGAUAGAUUCUGGAAUGCGCCCCGACAACAAGUUGUGCGCGACAUCCAGCUGUUCCAGGCUGAC